GGAAGCUCCACCCUCGAGGUGCCUAUUGAAGGUGGCUCUGGGAAUGUCAUGGAGAAGAAAGCCAUACUACAAUUGUUAUCUUGUUAGUCUUACUGGAGAGCAAUACCAGCAAGAUCCACCUACUGUCACAAGCACCAGAGUGAAAUGACACAAGACCAAGGGAGGCAAAAAGAGAGUUCCCGGUCCAUCACCAAAAUGUCACACUAGGAAGGACGGUGCCAAGCAGAAGAUGUCAUAGGAAAGGUGUCACAGAGAAAUCAGGACUCUUUUUCCUUUGUGGAUUCUUAUUCUCACUGAUAAUUUAUUUUCUUUUGGUUUUUGUGUGUUGCGGAUUUUUGCCUUUAUUUUUGAGGUGGUCUCUCUAUGUAGCCUUGGCUUGCCUGGAACUCACUAUGUAGACCAGAGUCAGAUUCACUAGCCUCUCUGCCUCUUGAGUGCUGGGAUUAAAGGCAUGCUCUAACACACCUGGCAAGAAGAGAAUUUGAAAACGGCCUCAGAAGGAAGCCUGGGGACGCUCCUGUUAGACUUUCAAAGGAAAAGCAACAAAGCAAGCAAGCUAAAGU
rnacentral:lncRNA from 1 species